UAAUGUUCACCAGUAUAGAAUCACACCUGCAUACCAUUUACAACUUAUCCAUGCAUGGCUAACUCAGUGAAUCCAUUGGCUAUUAUUAUAGUGAACACUUCUCCCUGUGAUUUAAAUACCCAGUCACUAAGAAUUAGAACUCAUUGCAGAAGACAUUUACAGCAGAUAUCAUUGCUGAAGAAAUCAGAUGGGGACAGCGAACUUGGUUUUCUUUAACACCAAGCCAUUGAUAACAUCAAAGAAAAAUUUGCUAAAAUUCAUCAUUAUUGUCUCAUCACCAGGAAGAUGAAAAAAGAACCAGUCAGUAUAAAAAGUGCAGAAUUUCGCAAGUACAAUCUGAAU